rnacentral:tRNA from 1 species
GGGGUCGUAGCUCAGCGGUAGAGCGCUCGGUUCGCAUCCGAGAGGACCCGGGUUCGAAUCCCGGUGGCUCCA